UGAAUAUUGUAAGCUAAAGGUGCUCUACAGAGCUUAAUAGAGAAGUCGGUGCAAUUCCGACGCGGUCCCGCCGCUGUAACGAGGAGUAAACUUCAAAUGCCACUGGUAGUAAUACUGGGAAGGUGAAGUGAGCUAUGAAUCGGAGUCAGAAGAACUGCCUUAGCUACAUCGCUGAUU
rnacentral:ncRNA from 24 species